CUUUUGGGUGUGACUGCGUACCUUUUGUAUAAUGGGUCAGCGACUUAUAUUCUGUAGCAAGGUUAACCGAAUAGGGGAGCCGGAGGGAAACCGAGUCUUAAUUGGGCGUUAAGUUGCAGGGUAUAGACCCGAAACCCGGUGAUCUAGCCAUGGGCAGGUUGAAGGUUGGGUAACACUAACUGGAGGACCGAACCGACUAAUGUUGAAAAAUUAGCGGAUGACCUGUGGCUGGGGGUGAAAGGCCAAUCAAACCGGGAGAUAGCUGGUUCUCCCCGAAAGCUAUUUAGGUAGCGCCUCGUGAAUUCAUCUCCGGGGGUAGAGCACUGUUUCGGCUAGGGGGCCAUCCCGGCUUACCAACCCGAUGCAAACUGCGAAUACCGGAGAAUGUUAUCACGGGAGACACACGGCGGGUGCUAACGUCCGUCGUGAAGAGGGAAACAACCCAGACCGCCAGCUAAGGUCCCAAAGUCAUGGUUAAGUGGGAAACGAUGUGGGAAGGCCCAGACAGCCAGGAUGUUGGCUUAGAAGCAGCCAUCAUUUAAAGAAAGCGUAAUAGCUCACUGGUCGAGUCGGCCUGCGCGGAAGAUGUAACGGGGCUAAACCAUGCACCGAAGCUGCGGCAGCGACACUCAGGUGUUGUUGGGUAGGGGAGCGUUCUGUAAGCCUGUGAAGGUGUGUCGUGAGGCAUGCUGGAGGUAUCAGAAGUGCGAAUGCUGACAUAAGUAACGAUAAAGCGGGUGAAAAGCCCGCUCGCCGGAAGACCAAGGGUUCCUGUCCAACGUUAAUCGGGGCAGGGUGAGUCGACCCCUAAGGCGAGGCCGAAAGGCGUAGUCGAUGGGAAACGGGUUAAUAUUCCCGUACUUGGUGUUACUGCGAAGGGGGGACGGAGAAGGCUAUGUUGGCCGGGCGACGGUUGUCCCGGUUUAAGCGUGUAGGUGUGUGUUCCAGGUAAAUCCGGUCCACUUUAACACUGAGGCGUGAUGACGAGGCACUACGGUGCUGAAGCAACAAAUGCCCUGCUUCCAGGAAAAGCCUCUAAGCAUCAGGUAACAUCAAAUCGUACCCCAAACCGACACAGGUGGUCAGGUAGAGAAUACCAAGGCGCUUGAGAGAACUCGGGUGAAGGAACUAGGCAAAAUGGUGCCGUAACUUCGGGAGAAGGCACGCUGACACGUAGGUGAAGUGAUUUACUCAUGGAGCUGAAGUCAGUCGAAGAUACCAGCUGGCUGCAACUGUUUAUUAAAAACACAGCACUGUGCAAACACGAAAGUGGACGUAUACGGUGUGACGCCUGCCCGGUGCCGGAAGGUUAAUUGAUGGGGUCAGCGCAAGCGAAGCUCCUGAUCGAAGCCCCGGUAAACGGCGGCCGUAACUAUAACGGUCCUAAGGUAGCGAAAUUCCUUGUCGGGUAAGUUCCGACCUGCACGAAUGGCGUAAUGAUGGCCAGGCUGUCUCCACCCGAGACUCAGUGAAAUUGAACUCGCUGUGAAGAUGCAGUGUACCCGCGGCAAGACGGAAAGACCCCGUGA
rnacentral:rRNA from 1 species